GACGAACGCUGGCGGCGUGCUUAACACAUGCAAGUCGAGCGGUAAGGCCCUUUCGGGGGUACACGAGCGGCGAACGGGUGAGUAACACGUGGGUGACCUGCCCUCAGCUCUGGGAUAAGCCUGGGAAACUGGGUCUAAUACCGGAUAUGACCUGCUGCUUCAUGGUGGUGGGUGGAAAGUUUUUCGGCUGGGGAUGGGCCCGCGGCCUAUCAGCUUGUUGGUGGGGUGAUGGCCUACCAAGGCGACGACGGGUAGCCGGCCUGAGAGGGCGACCGGCCACACUGGGACUGAGACACGGCCCAGACUCCUACGGGAGGCAGCAGUGGGGAAUAUUGCGCAAUGGGCGGAAGCCUGACGCAGCGACGCCGCGUGGGGAUGACGGCCU
rnacentral:rRNA from 1 species